rnacentral:rRNA from 1 species
CCUACGGGUGGCAGCAGUGGGGAAUAUUGCACAAUGGGCGGAAGCCUGAUGCAGCAACGCCGCGUGCGGGAUGACGGCCUUCGGGUUGAAACCGCUUUUAGUAAGGAAGCGGUACUUGCAGAAAAAGGACCGGCUAACUACGUGCCAGCAGCCGCGGUAAUACGUAGGGUCCGAGCGUUGUCCGGAAUUAUUGGGCGUAAAGAGCUCGUAGGCGGUUUGUCGCGUCUGCUGUGAAAUCUGGAGGCUCAACCUCCAGCCUGCAGUGGGUACGGGCAGACUUGAGUGGUGUAGGGGAGACUGGAAUUCCUGGUGUAGCGGUGGAAUGCGCAGAUAUCAGGAGGAACACCGAUGGCGAAGGCAGGUCUCUGGCAUUACUGACGCUGAGGAGCGAAAGCGUGGGGAGCGAACAGGAUUAGAUACCCCAGUAGUC